rnacentral:rRNA from 1 species
CAUCAUUACACAUGCAGUCGAGCGGUAAGGCCUUUCGGGGUACACGAGCGGCGAACGGGUGAGUAACACGUGGGUGAUCUGCCCUGCACUUCGGGAUAAGCCUGGGAAACUGGGUCUAAUACCGGAUAUGACCUCCUAUCGCAUGGUGGGUGGUGGAAAGAUUUAUCGGUGCAGGAUGGGCCCGCGGCCUAUCAGCUUGUUGGUGGGGUAAUGGCCUACCAAGGCGACGACGGGUAGCCGACCUGAGAGGGUGACCGGCCACACUGGGACUGAGACACGGCCCAGACUCCUACGGGAGGCAGCAGUGGGGAAUAUUGCACAAUGGGCGAAAGCCUGAUGCAGCGACGCCGCGUGAGGGAUGACGGCCUUCGGGUUGUAAACCUCUUUCAGCAGGGACGAAGCGCAAGUGACGGUACCUGCAGAAGAAGCACCGGCUAACUACGUGCCAGCAGCCGCGGUAAUACGUAGGGUGCAAGCGUUGUCCGGAAUUACUGGGCGUAAAGAGUUCGUAGGCGGUUUGUCGCGUCGUUUGUGAAAACCAGCAGCUCAACUGCUGGCUUGCAGGCGAUACGGGCAGACUUGAGUACUGCAGGGGAGACUGGAAUUCCUGGUGUAGCGGUGAAAUGCGCAGAUAUCAGGAGGAACACCGGUGGCGAAGGCGGGUCUCUGGGCAGUAACUGACGCUGAGGAACGAAAGCGUGGGUAGCGAACAGGAUUAGAUACCCUGGUAGUCCACGCCGUAAACGGUGGGCGCUAGGUGUGGGUUCCUUCCACGGAAUCCGUGCCGUAGCUAACGCAUUAAGCGCCCGCCUGGGGAGUACGGCCGCAAGGCUAAACUCAAGGAAUUGACGGGGCCCGCACAAGCGGCGGAGCAUGUGGAUUAUUCGAUGCACGCGAAGAACCUUACCUGGGUUUGACAU